rnacentral:rRNA from 1 species
GAUAAACGCUGGCGGCGUGCCUAAUACAUGCAAGUCGAGCGAACGGACGAGAAGCUUGCUUCUCUGAUGUUAGCGGCGGACGGGUGAGUAACACGUGGAUAACCUACCUAUAAGACUGGGAUAACUUCGGGAAACCGGAGCUAAUACCGGAUAAUAUUUUGAACCGCAUGGUUCAAAAGUGAAAGACGGUCUUGCUGUCACUUAUAGAUGGAUCCGCGCUGCAUUAGCUAGUUGGUAAGGUAACGGCUUACCAAGGCAACGAUGCAUAGCCGACCUGAGAGGGUGAUCGGCCACACUGGAACUGAGACACGGUCCAGACUCCUACGGGAGGCAGCAGUAGGGAAUCUUCCGCAAUGGGCGAAAGCCUGACGGAGCAACGCCGCGUGAGUGAUGAAGGUCUUCGGAUCGUAAAACUCUGUUAUUAGGGAAGAACAUAUGUGUAAGUAACUGUGCACAUCUUGACGGUACCUAAUCAGAAAGCCACGGCUAACUACGUGCCAGCAGCCGCGGUAAUACGUAGGUGGNCAGCGUUAUCCGAAUUUAUUGGGCGUAAAGCGCGCGUAGGCGGUUUUUUAAGUCUGAUGUGAAAGCCCACGGCUCAACCGUGGAGGGUCAUUGGAAACUGGAAAACUUGAGUGCAGAAGAGGAAAGUGGAAUUCCAUGUGUAGCGGUGAAAUGCGCAGAGAUAUGGAGGAACACCAGUGGCGAAGGCGACUUUCUGGUCUGUAACUGACGCUGAUGUGCGAAAGCGUGGGGAUCAAACAGGAUUAGAUACCCUGGUAGUCCACGCCGUAAACGAUGAGUGCUAAGUGUUAGGGGGUUUCCGCCCCUUAGUGCUGCAGCUAACGCAUUAAGCACUCCGCCUGGGGAGUACGACCGCAAGGUUGAAACUCAAAGGAAUUGACGGGGACCCGCACAAGCGGUGGAGCAUGUGGUUUAAUUCGAAGCAACGCGAAGAACCUUACCAAAUCUUGACAUCCUUUGACAACUCUAGAGAUAGAGCCUUCCCCUUCGGGGGACAAAGUGACAGGUGGUGCAUGGUUGUCGUCAGCUCGUGUCGUGAGAUGUUGGGUUAAGUCCCGCAACGAGCGCAACCCUUAAGCUUAGUUGCCAUCAUUAAGUUGGGCACUCUAAGUUGACUGCCGGUGACAAACCGGAGGAAGGUGGGGAUGACGUCAAAUCAUCAUGCCCCUUAUGAUUUGGGCUACACACGUGCUACAAUGGACAAUACAAAGGGCAGCGAAACCGCGAGGUCAAGCAAAUCCCAUAAAGUUGUUCUCAGUUCGGAUUGUAGUCUGCAACUCGACUACAUGAAGCUGGAAUCGCUAGUAAUCGUAGAUCAGCAUGCUACGGUGAAUACGUUCCCGGGUCU